ACGCUCGACACCUACGGGAGCAGCAGUAGGGAAUCUUCCACAAUGGACGCAAGUCUGAUGGAGCAACGCCGCGUGAGUGAAGAAGGUUUUCGGAUCGUAAAGCUCUGUUGUUGGUGAAGAAGGAUAGAGGUAGUAACUGGCCUUUUAUUUGACGGUAAUCAACCAGAAAGUCACGGCUAACUACGUGUCAGCAGCCGCGGUAAUCUGAGGCGGCUGGACAAGGC
rnacentral:rRNA from 1 species